rnacentral:rRNA from 1 species
GAACCUUACCAGGUCUUGACAUUUUCUGUAACCCUAAGAGAUUAGGCGUUCCCUUCGGGGACGGAAUGACAGGUGGUGCAUGGUUGUCGUCAGUUCGUGUCGUGAGAUGUUGGGUUAAGUCCCGCAACGAGCGCAACCCUUAUUGUCAGUUGCCAGCAUUUAGUUGGGCACUCUGGCGAGACUGCCGGUGACAAACCGGAGGAAGGUGGGGAUGACGUCAAAUCAUCAUGCCCCUUAUGCCCUGGGCGACACACGUGCUACAAUGGGCGGGACAAAGGGUCGCGAUCUCGCGAGGGUGAGCUAACUCCAAAAACCCGUCCUCAGUUCGGAUUGCAGGCUGCAACUCGCCUGCAUGAAGCAGGAAUCGCUAGUAAUCGCCGGUCAGCACCUGUCUCACGGUUCCCGAAGGCACUAAGGCAUCUCUGCCAA